GAUCGCAGUCUGCAACUCGACUGCGUGAAGGUGGAGUCGCUAGUAAUCGCGGAUCAGCAACGCCGCGGUGAAUGCGUUCCCGGGCCUUGUACACACCGCCCGUCAAGUCAUGAAAGUGGGCAGCACCCGAAGACGGCGGCCUAACCCUUGUGGGGGGAGCCGUCUAAGGUGAGGCUCGUGAUUGGGACUAAGUCGUAACAAGGUAGC
rnacentral:rRNA from 1 species